rnacentral:rRNA from 1 species
GAUGAACGCUGGCGGCGUGCCUAAUACAUGCAAGUCGAGCGAACAGAUGAGGAGCUUGCUCCUCUGACGUUAGCGGCGGACGGGUGAGUAACACGUGGAUACCCUACCUAUUAGACUGGGAUAACUUCGGGAAACCGGAGCUAAUACCGGAUAAUAUAUUGAACCGCAUGGUUCAAUAGUGAAAGACGGUUUUGCUGUCACUUAUAGAUGGAUCCGCGCCGCAUUAGCUAGUUGGUAAGGUAACGGCUUACCAAGGCAACGAUGCGUAGCCGACCUGAGAGGGUAAUAGGCCACACGGGACGUGAGACCCGGUCCAGACCCCAAGGGAAGGCAGUGCCAGGAAGUCUCCCGCAAGGGGCGAAGUCUGAACCGGGCAACGCCGCGAGAGUCAGGAAGAGUUGCGGAUGGUAACACUCUGUUAUUAGGGAAGAACAAAUGUGUAAGAAACGAUGCAAGUCUGGCCGGUACCAAAUAAGAAAGCCACGACUACUUACGU